rnacentral:rRNA from 1 species
GACAGAGGGUGCAAACGUUGCUCGGAAUUACUGGGCGUAAAGCGCGUGUAGGUGGCCACGCAAGUCAGGUGUGAAAGCCCUGGGCUCAACCCAGGAAGUGCACAUGAUACUACGUGGCUGGAGUACUGAAGAGGAGAGCGGAAUUCCCAGUGUAGAGGUGAAAUUCGUAGAUAUUGGGAAGAACACCGGUGGCGAAGGCGGCUCUCUGGACCGAUACUGACGCUGAGGCGCGAAAGCGUGGGGAGCAAACAGG